rnacentral:rRNA from 1 species
AGCGAACGCUGGCGGCAUGCCUAACACAUGCAAGUCGCACGGGGGGGCUUCGGCCUCCCAGUGGCGGACGGGUGAGGAACGCGUAGGGACCUGUCGAGGGGUGGGGGAUAACCGCGGGAAACUGCGGCUAAUACCGCAUGACGCCGCGGCGUGACAGCCGGGGCCAAAGGCGACAGCCGUCCGCCGAGGGGCCUGCGUCCGAUUAGCUGGUUGGCGGGGUAGCGGCCCACCAAGGCGUCGAUCGGUAGCUGGUCUGAGAGGGUGGUCAGCCACACCGGGACUGAGACACGGCCCGGACUCCUACGGGAGGCAGCAGUGGGGAAUAUUGGACAAUGGGCGCAAGCCUGAUCCAGCAAUGCCGCGUGGGUGAAGAAGGUCUUCGGAUUGUAAAGCCCUUUCGGCGGGGACGAUGGUGACGGUACCCGCAGAAGAAGCCCCGGCUAACUUCGUG